UGGGGAAUAUUGCACAAUGGGCGCAAGCCUGAUGCAGCCAUGCCGCGUGUGUGAAGAAGGCCUUCGGGUUGUAAAGCACUUUCAGCGGGGAGGAAGGCGAUAAGGUUAAUAACCUUGUCGAUUGACGUUACCCGCAGAAGAAGCACCGGCUAACUCCGUGCCAGCAGCCGCGGUAAUACGGAGGGUGCAAGCGUUAAUCGGAAUUACUGGGCGUAAAGCGCACGCAGGCGGUCUGUCAAGUCGGAUGUGAAAUCCCCGGGCUCAACCUGGGAACUGCAUUCGAAACUGGCAGGCUAGAGUCGUGUAGAGGGGGGUAGAAUUCCAGGUGUAGCGGUGAAAUGCGUAGAGAGCUGGAGGAAUACCGGUGGCGAAGGCGGCCCCCUGGACAAAGACUGACGCUCAGGUGCGAAAGCGUGGGGAGCAAACAGG
rnacentral:rRNA from 1 species